UGGUUUAGUGGCGGACGGGUGGAGUAACACGUGAGCAACCUACCUUUCUAGAGGGGGAGUAACAGUUGGAAACGACUGCUAAUACCGCAUAACGUUGUAAAAGGGCAUCCAUUUACAACCAAAAGAGAAAUCUGCUGAAAGAUGGGCUCGCGGCCGAUUAGAUAGUUGGCGGGGUAACGGCCCACCAAGGCAGCGAUCAGUAGCCGGCCUGAGAGGGUGGACGGCCACAUUGGGACUGAGACACGGCCCAAACUCCUACGGGAGGCAGCAG
rnacentral:rRNA from 1 species